rnacentral:rRNA from 1 species
CCUACGGGUGGCAGCAGUGGGGAAUAUUGGACAAUGGGCGAAAGCCUGAUCCAGCCAUGCCGCGUGUGUGAAGAAGGCCUUCGGGUUGUAAAGCACUUUCAGUGGGGAAGAAAGCCUUGGGGCUAAUACCCUCGAGGAAGGACAUCACCCACAGAAGAAGCACCGGCUAACUCCGUGCCAGCAGCCGCGGUAAUACGGAGGGUGCGAGCGUUAAUCGGAAUUACUGGGCGUAAAGCGCGUGUAGGCGGUCUGAUAAGCCGGUUGUGAAAGCCCCGGGCUCAACCUGGGAACGGCAUCCGGAACUGUCAGGCUAGAGUGCAGGAGAGGAAGGUAGAAUUCCCGGUGUAGCGGUGAAAUGCGUAGAGAUCGGGAGGAAUACCAGUGGCGAAGGCGGCCUUCUGGACUGACACUGACGCUGAGGUGCGAAAGCGUGGGUAGCAAACAGGAUUAGAUACCCGAGUAGUC